rnacentral:rRNA from 1 species
GAUGAACGCUGGCGGCGUGCUUAACACAUGCAAGUCGAACGAACGACUAUUAACAGAACCUUUCGGGGCGAAGAUGAUAGAAGUUAGUGGCGGACGGGUGCGUAACGCGUGGGUAAUCUGCCUUUGUCAAAGGAAUAACUAUUCGAAAGAAUAGCUAAAACCGUAUAACAUAUUAAUAGGGCAUCCUAAUAAUAUCAAAACUGAGGUGGACAAAGAUGAGCCCGCGUCUGAUUAGCUAGUUGGUGAGAUAAAAGCCCACCAAGGCAACGAUCAGUAGCCGACCUGAGAGGGUGAACGGCCACAUUGGAACUGAGACACGGUCCAAACUCCUACGGGAGGCAGCAGUGGGGAAUAUUGCACAAUGGGGGGAACCCUGAUGCAGCAACGCCGCGUGAGUGAAGAAGGCAUUCGUGUCGUAAAACUCUGUAGUAGGGGAAGAAAGAAAUGACAGUACCCUAAAAGAAAGCCCCGGCUAACUACGUGCCAGACGCCGCGGUAAUACGUAGGGGGCAAGCGUUAUCCGGAAUAACUGGGCGUAAAGGGUGCGCAGGUGGUUUAACAAGUUAGUGGUGAAAGGCAUAGGCUCAACCAAUGUAAGCCAUUAAAACUGUUUAACUUGAGUGCAGGAGAGGAAAGUGGAAUUCCUAGUGUAGCGGUGAAAUGCGUAGAUAUUAGGAGGAAUACCAGUGGCGAAGGCGACUUUCUGGACUGCAACUGACACUGAGGCACGAAAGCGUGGGGAGCAAACAGGAUUAGAUACCCUGGUAGUCCACGCCGUAAACGAUGAGUACUAGGUGUCGGGUGAAGAACUCGGUGCCGAAGUUAACACAUUAAGUACUCCGCCUGGGGAGUACGCUCGCAAGAGUAAAACUCAAAGGAAUUGACGGGGACCCGCACAAGCAGCGGAGCAUGUGGUUUAAUUCGAAGCAACGCGAAGAACCUUACCUAAACUUGACAUACCAAU